GGGGACACUUCAACAGCCACCCUGACACCACAGCCCAGGGGUUGGUUACUUGCUUCUGUCUCCAGCAGCCACACAAGCACCAUGAAGAGGCUGCUGUGCUCUCUGCUGGGGCUUCUGUGCACCCAGGUUUGCUGGGUGAAGGGGCAGCAAGUGCAGCAGAGUCCUGUGUCCUUGGUUCUACAGGAGGGAGAGAACGCAGAGCUGCAGUGCAACUUUUCCACCACAGCAACCCGGCUGCAGUGGUUUUUCCAACGUCCUGGGGGAAACCUUGUCAGCCUCUUUUACAAUCCUUCUGGGACAAAGCAGAGUGGAAGACUGAUGUCCACGACAGUCACAAGGGAACGACGAAGCUCUUUGCACAUCUCCUCCUCCCAGACCACAGACUCAGGCACUUAUUUCUGUGCUAUGGAUCCACAGUGCUCCCCACACACCUGCAGCCUGUGCACAAACCUUCAGCUGGGUGGCUGUGUCUCUUCUUAG